GUUAGCAGGCUGCAACUUGACGAAAUGAGCCAGCGGGAAGGUUCAUGAAGCACGCAAACCGUCUUCAGCGAAGACAGACAGGUGUUGGCUCAGGCUCGCAUAAGUCAAGAUGUGACUUCAGAUCAAGUCACAUCUGUGAAUUCGGGGGCUGUCUGAGCGAACCCCCGGGAAAACACUUACUGGGAGUCGGUGUCACACUUGAUGGUGACGUAACAAGAGGAUCCUUCAGCCAGUCUUCCUUGGUGUUGGAACUGCUACUCUGAACAUUCGAUGAAACCACCAUGCAGAACAGGCAAGGUGACGUUUACAGAUUGGAGAAGGACGUGCAGAUUUAAGAGAGGAGAUGUGGACUUGCGAUUCAGGGCUUCGUGACGAGAGCCUUUGAAUGCGCACGCCACCAAGGCAGUCAAGAGUGGGCUGACGCUUCAGAGACAAGUCCUUGAGCUUACUUCCAAGUGUGGGUUUCAACUCUCAAGCAAGCAGCACGCUGUUCGAAAAGCUCCAAAGAGAUUUCAACGCCUGUGGUGGUGACCGCGUCGUGAGCUCGGAUAGCAGAGCAACUUAACGGAUGCCUUGGUGGACUAUGUAAAGUAGUGGACCUCAUGUGGGUAUACCUAAUUCGUGGGGGAAACGUCAUCGCAGGCUUCACUUUGCUGUUGAAGAAGUUUAAUCAGAACAAUCUAAAUCUAGAAGGUCCUGUUUCUCGUCCAAUCCAAGUACGACAACACACGGAUGGCUGGAAUAUUGAUAGCACCGGUAGCGCUCGCGGUCACGGGUGACGAAAAAGAGGACAGCUUCGUUCUGUUUGUGGACAAGGGCCAUCGGACCACGGAAUCUGAAAUGAAAUGUAUGAAAAUGCCUUACAUGCAACGAAA